CAUUGAUUGAUUCCAAAUUGAUAAGAACACUACAUAUAUAUAAGACUCUUAAUGGGCCUAGAGGAUAAAACCCAACUAAACAAAACCCAAUAGCAUAGAUGAUCAACUUAUAAUAUAAAUACUAUGUCUCAUUGAUAUCUAAAUUAUUUGACUAACUACCACUUAUAAUUAUUUAACUAAUUACUCCUUAAUCUUUUAUCAUUGCCACCGGGUUCACUUGAACCUUGUCCUCAAGGUUCAGCGGCAAGUCUGGAGGAAUUAAAUUGGAGUGUGACUCGGGACAUAUAAUUUUUUGUCAAAAAAAGUUUUGCCCAUAAAAACAUUGGGCUAGCUAAUGCUUUGCGGCCCAUAGUUGUUUUGGUGGAAACCAAUUGUUGCGUGUCACUUGAAUUUUGCCUUGCAAUUUUGUGAAUAAAGCUGGAAACCAAUUGUUGCAUGUGCCAACACGUGGAGUGCUUGUAGGAGUGUCAUCAUCAUUAUAGGGUGGAUUUGAAAUCACCAGCUGGUGAGUGGAAUUACCACUACGCAGUAGAAACAAAAACACAUUACGUGUUGUNNNNNNNNNNNNNNNNNNNNNNNNNNNNNNNNNNNNNNNNNNNNNNNNNNNNNNNNNNNNNNNCUAGAGGCGAGAUCACAAUCAAAGAGAUUGUGCUUUCCAUGGACGUCCAUGAUUCAUCUGUUGAAGAAAUAUUCCAAUCAGACGGUGAAAAACAAUUGCGAUUGUGACGAUGAAAUACGUGCUCUUGCAAAAUGGAAUACGAUGAUGGUGGUAGAAACUCAGUCAGUGAAUCUUCAUAUUUCGGCUUCGGCUGUGGCCGCGAAAGUGGGUUUGUGAACGGCGUCUCUGACGAAAGCGGUGGAGUCUGAACAAUGAGUAAGUUUGGUGGUAUUGGCGGCGGUAACGGAGUUGGGUUGGUGAACAACAACUCCCACGGUGGUGGUUUCGGUGGUGAUGGUGGCGAUGGGUUCAGUGGUGAUGAACGGAUGGUUGGUCCAAGAAACAUUUUUCUGUAGACCAUAUGUAGAUCCGGUGGUGCUAGAAUAAGAUACUGAGUUAUAACCAUAUCCGGUGGUUUUGGAGACGGCGGAUGUAACACCCCAAUCUUCUAUCAUUUAUAAUUAUUUGACUAACUACCACUUAUAAUUAUUUAACUAAUUACUCUCUAAUCUUCUAUCAUUGCCGCCGGGUUCACUUGAACCUUGUCCUCAAGGUUCUAAAAUUAGAGAUUAUGGUCAAGAUAGAGAUCGUCAUCAAGGCCCAUAAAUUGGCCCAUUGCCUUUGAAGCCCAAAUGUGGAAUUUAGAGAUUAUUGGUUUAUUUGGUGAAAGGAACACUUGGUAACUUGAACUUGAAUGAGAAAUAAAUAAGAGGACGUUUGGAAAGUGAAGGCCAUGUGACAUGUUUGCAGACUGAAGAAAACAAUAGGCGCGUGGAAGGGAAAAAUGGAGUAUUGUAGUGCCACGUGUCGAUGCUUGAUUGAGCAAUGGACAUCACACAGAUGGGGCUUUUGUGCAAUGGUUGUGAUUCAAUCAAAAAAUGAGAAUAAAGUGGAUCGGAUGGUGGGAGUGAAACAAUGGAUGAUGGGUGUCCAUGCACU
rnacentral:lncRNA from 1 species